AAUCAACGCUGGCGGCGUGCCUCAGACAUGCAAGUCGAACGCGAAAGUCCCCUUCGGGGGACAAGUAGAGUGGCGCACGGGUGAGUAACACGUAGGUAAUCUACCUUCGGAUGGGGAAUAACAACCGGAAACGGUUGCUAAUACCGCAUAAUGCAGCGGCACCUAAUGGUGACAGUUGUUAAAGCGGGGGAUCGAAAGACCUCGCGUCUGAAGAGGAGCCUGCGGCGGAUUAGCUAGNGGUAAGGUAAUGGCUUACCAAGGCGACGAUCCGUAGCCGGCCUGAGAGGGCGGUCGGCCACACUGACACUGACAUACGGGUCAGACUCCUACGGGAGGCAGCAGUCGGGAAUUUGGGCAAUGGGCGAAAGCCUGACGCAGCGACGCCGCGUGAGGGAUGACGG
rnacentral:rRNA from 1 species